rnacentral:rRNA from 1 species
UACAGAGGUGGCGAGCGUUAUUCGGAAUUAUUGGGCGUAAAGGGCGCGUAGGCGGCUUGACAAGUCCCGGGUGAAAUCCCUCGGCUCAACCGAGGAACUGCCUUGGAAACUGUCUGGCUUGAGGCCGGGAGAGGGUAGUGGAAUUCCCAGUGUAGCGGUGAAAUGCGUAGAUACUGGGAGGAACACCGGGUGGCGAAGGCGGCUACCUGGACCGGUUCUGACGCUGAGGCGCGAAAGCGUGGGUAGCAAACAGG